UACCACUGAGUUCAUACUCAGCGUACGGUUUGUUUUCGUGCGCAGGUUAGGUUAAGGUCAGACCAUUGAAUCAGCAUCUUAGGCCGAUCCCGUACUCAAUAAGGGUUGGCUAAUAAAGUGUGAAAGGUUCAUUAUUGA